rnacentral:rRNA from 1 species
GAGUUUGAUCGUGGCUCAGGAUGAACGCUGGCGGCGUGCCUAAUACAUGCAAGUCGAGCGAACAGACGAGGAGCUUGCUCCUCUGACGUUAGCGGCGGACGGGUGAGUAACACGUGGAUAACCUACCUAUAAGACUGGGAUAACUUCGGGAAACCGGAGCUAAUACCGGAUAAUAUAUUGAACCGCAUGGUUCAAUAGUGAAAGACGGUUUUGCUGUCACUUAUAGAUGGAUCCGCGCCGCAUUAGCUAGUUGGUAAGGUAACGGCUUACCAAGGCAACGAUGCGUAGCCGACCUGAGAGGGUGAUCGGCCACACUGGAACUGAGACACGGUCCAGACUUCUACGGGAGGCAGCAGUAGGGAAUCUUCCGCAAUGGGCGAAAGCCUGACGGAGCAACGCCGCGUGAGUGAUGAAGGUCUUCGGAUCGUAAAACUCUGUUAUUAGGGAAGAACAAAUGUGUAAGUAACUAUGCACGUCUUGACGGUACCUAAUCAGAAAGCCACGGCUAAC